GUCAGUGAGUGAUUGUUGCUUGAACGCGCGCGUUGAUAGUCUUUUAUUUUUCCUUUUUUUUUUUGUAUUUUCUUUUGUUCAAUAUUCGUUUUCGCUGUUAGAGUCAGUGCUCAAGAGGAUGAGGCCUUUCCUGGAGAUCAAGAUUACGUUUCACAGCAUCAAUUUUUUUGCAUUUUUUGGGGAAAAUCCAACGGUGACUCUAAAGUCAAGAAUAUCUUUUACAGUCUCCACUUCCCCUAAUUUUGCAAGAAUCUUAUGAUGCUUCAGAAGCUAAAAACAAAUUUUUCACGGUGUUUACUUUCAUCAUGAGAUUCUGAG